AUCGCUUCUCGGCCUUUUGGCUAAGAUCAAGUGUAGUAUCUGUUCUUAAAUGUCUGCUCUUUAUCUCCAGCGAGGCUGUUAACAACUUUAGACUAGAGACCAGAGCUUCUGUGUCCAGUACCUAGGACAGCAGGGGAAGUCUC
rnacentral:snRNA from 1 species